GUUCCUAUAGUUGAAGCACAACGAUGGUUUUUCAAGCCAUAAGUCCUGGUUAAAACCCUGGUAGGAAUU
rnacentral:tRNA from 1 species